AGUGAACGCUGGCGGCAGGCCUAAUACAUGCAAGUCGAACGGACACACGGUGAGCGUUCGCCUCUACCGUUGGCGGCUGACGGGUGGGUAACGCAUGGAUAGCCUACCUCUAAUUCGGGGAGAACUACGUAGAGCCAGAUCUGAUACCACAGAAUAUAUUGAACCGCAGGGAUCAGUAGUUAUUCGCACUUUGCGUGUCUGUUUUAGCUGAAGCCGGAUUAGCUAGUUGGCAGGGUAAAGGCCCGCCAAGGCAACGAUCCGUAGCUGAUCUGAGAGGAUGAUCGGCCACACUGGAACUGAGACACGGUCCAGACUCCUACGGGAGGCAGCAGUAGGGAAUCUUCGGCAAUGGGCGAAAGCCUGACGGAGCAACGCCGCGUGAGUGAUGAAGGCCUUCGGAUCGUAAAACUCUGUUAUUAGGGAAGAAAAACUGUGUAAUUAACUCUGGCUGUCUUGACGGUACCUAAUCAGAAAGCAACGGCUAACUACGUG
rnacentral:rRNA from 1 species